CUGGGGAAUCAGUAAAAGCACAUUCUCUCUUUCAAAGCCUUUCAUUAAAGAGAGAGAGAGGUUGUUGGAUCCAACUCAAAGAAAUGGCUUAUCCUCUUCCCCAGGCAGGCCUUGGCAUCAGGCUUAAGCAGCCAAGCCAUAAAUGCAUCUUCGUUGUUAUAGGCUCUAACAGCACCUGGCCUAGGAACACUGGCCUUCCAGAUGGUCUUAUUUUGCAUAUUGCUUUUUAGCCAAAUCAAGAGGCAUAUCUUUUUAAAAUAAAAAAUAAAUAAAUAGUUGGGUGUGAUUUGACGGCAAGCCAUUCUGAGCGCCAUCUGGUGGGAAAGCUGAUGAGAAAUGUAAAUAGCAGUCUAUUGAUUAACCUGAUGGUUAUCACCAGGCAAUCCAUCAGUCUGUCAAGGGUUGUUGCCUAUAUGGGCACGCCUUCUUGAAUAGGAAAGGUAACACAGUUGGGUCAGCCUUCAAGUGCUGAAAGAUAUGAAAAGGAGUCCAGUUGGUGAUAGAUACCAUAUGAUCCUCAUGAGGUUGGCAGAAGCUGGGGCUAACAGCAGGAGCUCACCCCGCUCCCCGGAUUUGAACCACCAACCUUUUGAAAUCCCUGCUUUUGUGUCAGCUGCACAAACUGGAAGCUGAGUGACUCAC
rnacentral:lncRNA from 1 species